CCUACGGGAGGCAGCAGUGGGGAAUUUUGGACAAUGGGCGAAAGCCUGAUCCAGCCAUUCCGCGUGCAGGAUGAAGGCCCUCGGGUUGUAAACUGCUUUUGUACAGAACGAAAAGGUUUCUACUAAUACUAGGAGCUCAUGACGGUACUGUAAGAAUAAGCACCGGCUAACUACGUGCCAGCAGCCGCGGUAAUACGUAGGGUGCAAGCGUUAAUCGGAAUUACUGGGCGUAAAGCGUGCGCAGGCGGUUAUAUAAGUCAGAUGUGAAAUCCCCGGGCUCAACCUGGGAACUGCAUUUGAGACUGUAUAGCUAGAGUACGGUAGAGGGGGAUGGAAUUCCGCGUGUAGCAGUGAAAUGCGUAGAUAUGCGGAGGAACACCGAUGGCGAAGGCAAUCCCCUGGACCUGUACUGACGCUCAUGCACGAAAGCGUGGGGAGCAAACAGGAUUAGAUACCCUGGUAGUCCACGCCCUAAACGAUGUCAACUGGUUGUUGGGUCUUAACUGACUCAGUAACGAAGCUAACGCGUGAAGUUGACCGCCUGGGGAGUACGGCCGCAAGGUUGAAACUUAAAGGAAUUGACGG
rnacentral:rRNA from 1 species